GCGCGUCUGCAAUGCAGGUGCCGGCUCGCCUAUUUUGAUCCUAACACUAUCAAAAUAGGGAGUCCGACUCGAUUACAACGCGCUGGUGUGCAAGCUCCCGGCGGGGUUGCCUGUGGAUCUCGCAAGGGAGAAGCCUGAAAGCGCUCGGAGGACGCCCACCCCGUUUACAAACGAGGGUCAAUAACGGGGGUCGGCACGGCCGAGUGGUGCGCU
rnacentral:other from 1 species